rnacentral:rRNA from 1 species
UACAGAGGGUGCGAGCGUUGUCCGGAAUUACUGGGCGUAAAGGGCGCGUAGGCGGCUUGGUAAGUCGGGGGUGAAAGUCAGCGGCUCAACCGCUGGACUGUCUUCGAGACUGCCUGGCUUGAGCAUGGUAGAGGCUGGCGGAAUUCCCGGUGUAGCGGUGGAAUGCGUAGAGAUCGGGAAGAACAUCGGUGGCGAAGGCGGCCAGCUGGGCCAUUGCUGACGCUGAUGCGCGACAGCGUGGGGAGCAAACGGG